AUGUCUUUAGUACAGCUUCAGGUAAACAACUUUUCUUAUGGGAAGACCCUGGACCUGGUGACAGUCAAUAAUUAAUGUUUAAAAGAUGGUCAAGUUCCUCUGUGGCAGUUUUUGGCACAAAUUCGAGGGAUUUGGAAGGUGAAUGUCAUACCAGGUGAAUAUUUUGAGUUAACCAUGGAUAAUUCGUGAGAAAUCAGAUGUUGUUUUAUGUUUGAUCAUUCACAUUUAUAUGGAAAAAGAAAAACAUUCUUAUUUUCUUUCUUUAUGGUAGAACAAUUGAGGGAAAAAUCAGAAAAAACAAGGCUCCCAGUCUCUCUGUGGAAUAUAUUUAUGAUAAAUUUUAAUGUUCAACAGGGAUAAAUUUAUAAAAUCCUAGUCAUAUAAAUGCUACUAACACUGUAAACUGCUAAAGAUAAUUAAGACAUACAAGUUAAUGGCCAGUCACCUAAUAAAUGGUCAAAU